AGUGGCAGACGGGUGAGUAACAUGUAGGUAUCUACCCUUUGGCCUGGAAUAACACGAGGAAACUUGUGCUAAUACCGGAUAAGUCUUUACGGAGAAAGCUUUAUGCACCAUUGGAUGAGCCUGCACUUGAUUAGUUUGUUGGUGGGGUAAUGGCCUACCAAGACUGUGAUCAAUAGCUGAUUUGAGAGGAUGAUCAGCCACAUUGGGACUGAGACACGGCCCAAACUCCUACGGGAGGCAGCAGUGGGGAAUCUUGCACAAUGGAGGAAACUCUGAUGCAGCGAUGCCGCGUGAGUGAAGAAGGCCUUUGGGUUGUAAAGCUCUUUCGUCGGGGAAGAAAAUGACUGUACCCGAAUAAGAAGGUCCGGCUAACUUCGUGCCAGCAGCCGCGAUAAUACGAAGGGACCUAGCGUAGUUCGGAAUUACUGGGCUUAAAGAGUUCGUAGGUGGUUGAAAAAGUUAGUGGUGAAAUCCCAGAGCUUAACCCUGGAACUGCCAUUAAAACUUUUCAGCUAGAGUAUGAUAGAGGAAAGCAGAAUUUCUAGUGUAGAGGUGUAAUUCGUAGAUAUUAGAAAGAAUACCAAUUGCGAAGGCAGCUUUCUGGAUCAUUACUGACACUGAGGAACGAAAGCAUGGGCAGCGAAGAGGAUUAGAUACCCUCGUAGUCCAUGCCGUAAACGAUGUGUGUUAGACGUUGGAAAUUUAUUUU
rnacentral:rRNA from 1 species